GUGCUUGCUUCAAGUAGCACAUAUACCAAACUUAAAAAGAUACAGAGAAGAUCAGUGUAUCCCCUGUGUGAAGAUGGCACAAAAGUUCAUGAGGCAAAUAAAGAAAUA